GGGGUUAGUAAAGUGGCGCACGGGUGAGUAACACGUGGGUAAUCUGCCUUUUAGUUUGGGAUAACCCUUCGAAAGAAGGACUAAUACCGAAGAGACCACAGGGACAUAAGUCCUAGGGGUUAAAGACUGGGACCGUAAGGCCAGUCGCUAAUUGAUGAGCCCGCGCACUAUCAGCUAGUUGGUGAGGUAAUGGCUCACCAAGGCUAUGACGGUUAGCUGGUCUGAGAGGAUGAUCAGCCACACUGGAACUGAGACACGGUCCAGACUCCUACGGGAGGCAGCAGUGGGGAAUCUUGCACAAUGGGCGAAAGCCUGAUGCAGCAAUGCCGCGUGAGUGAUGAAGGCCUUCGGGUUGUAAAUCUCUGUCGGUUGGGAAAAAUGGCUUCAUAUUUAAUAAAUGUGAAGAUUGAUGGUACCAGCAGAGGAAGAGGCGGCUAACUCUGUGCCAGCAGCCGCGGUAAUACAGAGGCCUCGAGCGUUGUUCGGAAUUACUGGGCGUAAAGGGAAUGUAGGUGGUGACGUAAGUCAGAUGUGAAAGCCCUGGGCUUAACCCGGGAAGUGCAUUUGAUACUGCGUUGCUGGAGUACGAGAGAGGAAAGCGGAAUUCCCAGUGUAGGAGUGAAACCCGUAGAUAUUGGGAGGAAUACCGAUGGCGAAGGCAGCUUUCUGGCUCGUAACUGACACUGAGAUUCGAAAGCGUGGGUAGCAAACAGGAUUAGAUACCCUGGUAGUCCACGCCGUAAACGAUGGAUGCUUGUUGUUGGAUAGGUCAACCCUUCCAGUAACGAAGCUAACGCGUUAAGCAUCCCGCCUGGGGAGUACGGUCGCAAGAUUAAAACUCAAAGAAAUUGACGGGGACCCGCACAAGCAGUGGAGCAUGUGGUUCAAUUCGACCACGCGAAGAACCUUAUCCUGGUCUUGACAUCCUUUGACCGCCAUCGAAAGUUGGUUUUCUCUUCGGAGACAAAGAGACAGGUGCUGCAUGGCUGUCGUCAGCUCGUGUCGUGAGAUGUUGGGUUAAGUCCCGUAACGAGCGCAACCCACGCCUCUUGUUGCCAUCAUUAAGUUGGGCACUCUAGAGGGACUGCCAGUGUUAAACUGGAGGAAGGUGUGGAUGACGUCAAGUCCUCAUGGCCCUAUGACCAGGGCCACACACGUGCUACAAUGCAGGGUACAAAGGGCUGCGAAACCGUGAGGUGGAGCCAAUCCCAAAAAACCCUGCUCAGUUCGGAUUGAAGUCUGCAACUCGACUUCAUGAAGCUGGAAUUGCUAGUAAUCGCAGAUCAGCACGCUGCGGUGAAUACG
rnacentral:rRNA from 1 species